GAUGAACGCUAGCGAUAGGCUUAACACAUGCAAGUCGAGGGGCAGCAUGGUCUUAGCUUGCUAAGACUGAUGGCGACCGGCGCACGGGUGCGUAACGCGUAUGCAACUUGCCUCACAGAGGGGGAUAACCCGUCGAAAGACGGACUAAUACCGCGUACACUCCACUUUGGGCAUCCAAUGUAGAGGAAAUGAAAUUCGCUGUGAGAUAGGCAUGCGUCCCAUUAGCUAGUUGGUGAGGUAACGGCUCACCAAGGCGACGAUGGGUAGGGGAACUGAGAGGUUGAACCCCCACACUGGUACUGAGACACGGACCAGACUCCUACGGGAGGCAGCAGUGAGGAAUAUUGGUCAAUGGGCGAGAGCCUGAACCAGCCAAGUCGCGUGAAGGAUGACUGUCUUAUGGAUUGUAAACUUCUUUUAUACGGGAAUAACAAGAGUCACGUGUGACUCCCUGCAUGUACCGUAUGAAUAAGCAUCGGCUAACUCCGUGCCAGCAGCCGCGGUAAUACGGAGGAUGCGAGCGUUAUCCGGAUUUAUUGGGUUUAAAGGGUGCGUAGGCGGCCUGUUAAGUCAGCGGUGAAAUCUAGGAGCUUAACUCCUAAAUUGCCAUUGAUACUGGCGGGCUUGAGUGUAGAUGAGGUAGGCGGAAUGCGUGGUGUAGCGGUGGAAUGCAUAGAUAUCACGCAGAACUCCGAUUGCGAAGGCAGCUUACUAAGGUACAACUGACGCUGAAGCACGAAAGCGUGGGUAUCAAACAGG
rnacentral:rRNA from 1 species